rnacentral:misc_RNA from 1 species
AAAAAAGACAUCUCUAACACUCCAUGUGAGACACACCCCAAAAAGUACAUGUUGAAAGGAAAAUAUUCAAUCAGGAACCAGUAACUCAAAACCCUGUAUCAUCUUUAGAUCAGAAAACCUUGCUUUAGGCCUGAGUGCUUCCUGCCUGUGCACACCCUGUUUCUUGUUUCUCAAUAACCUUACUCCUACCGUGUACCACGCUGAUAGAAACCAUUGCCUCUUGCUCUGGUGUAGUCACCACCAUCUUGAUUGCUUCCCCUGCCCAAACUACGGGCACCAAAUCGCCCCCUUGGUGCAUCUGUUUGGUAGCCACCUCUGCCUCUUCCCCUUCUUCCUCCUCGAG